CCUUCGAUAGCUCAGUUGGUAGAGCGGUGGACUGUAGAUGUGUAACAGCAGCAGUAGUAGUAAUCCAUAGGUCGCUGGUUCAAAUCCGGCUCGAAGGA
rnacentral:tRNA from 1 species